ACGGAGGGUGCAAGCGUUAUCCGGAUUUAUUGGGUUUAAAGGGUGCGUAGGCGGUGAAAUAAGUCAGUGGUGAAAAGCUGCAGCUCAACUGUAGUCCUGCCAUUGAAACUGUUUUACUUGAGUAACCAUGAGGUAGGCGGAAUGUGUAGUGUAGCGGUGAAAUGCUUAGAUAUUACACAGAACACCGAUUGCGUAGGCAGCUUACUAGAGGUUCACUGACGCUGAUGCACGAAAGCGUGGGGAUCAAACAGGAUUAGAUACCCUGGUAGUCCACGCCGUAAACGAUGAUAACUCGCUGUUGGCGAUACACAGUCAGCGGCUUAGCGAAAGCGUUAAGUUAUCCACCUGGGGAGUACGCUCGCAAGAGUG
rnacentral:rRNA from 1 species